rnacentral:misc_RNA from 1 species
CGCACAUUGCGCCCCUUGGUAUUCCGGGGGGCAUGCCUGUUCGAGCGUCAUUUCAACCCUCAAGCUCUGCUUGGUAUUGGGCUCCGUCCUCUGCGGACGCGCCUCAAAGACCUCGGCGGUGGCGUCUUGCCUCAAGCGUAGUAGAAAACACCUCGCUUUGGAGCGCACGGCGCCGCCCGCCGGACGAACCUUUGAAUUUUUCUCAAGGUUGACCUCGGAUCAGGUAGGGAUACCCGCUGAACUUAA